GCUUGUCUCAAAGAUUAAGCCAUGCAUGUCUAAGUAUAAGCCUUUAUAUGGUGAGACUGCGAAUGGCUCAUUAAAUCAGAAACUGUUUAUUUGAUAGUGCCUACUACAUGGAUACCUGUAGUAAUUCUAGAGCUAAUACAUGCAAAAAGCCUGGACUUCUGGAACAGGCUUUUUGCAUGUAUUAGAUUGAAACCAAUGCAGUCUUCGGGCUGGUAUUGUGUUGAGUCAUAAUAACUGUGCGGAUCGCGUUUUACGCGAUAAAUCGAUUGAGUUUCUGCCCUAUCAGCUUUGGAUGGUAGGAUAUGGGCCUACCAUGGCAUUAACGGGUAACGGGGAAUUAGGGUUUGAUUCCGGAGAGGGAGCCUUAGAAACGGCUACCACAUCCAAGGAAGGCAGCAGG
rnacentral:rRNA from 1 species